GAUGAACGCUGGCGGCGUGCCUAAUACAUGCAAGUCGAGCGAACGGACGAGAAGCUUGCUUCUCUGAUGUUAGCGGCGGACGGGUGAGUAACACGUGGAUAACCUACCUAUAAGACUGGGAUAACUUCGGGAAACCGGAGCUAAUACCGGAUAAUAUUUUGAACCGCAUGGUUCAAAAGUGAAAGACGGUCUUGCUGUCACUUAUAGAUGGAUCCGCGCUGCAUUAGCUAGUUGGUAAGGUAACGGCUUACCAAGGCAACGAUGCAUAGCCGACCUGAGAGGGUGAUCGGCCACACUGGAACUGAGACACGGUCCAGACUCCUACGGGAGGCAGCAGUAGGGAAUCUUCCGCAAUGGGCGAAAGCCUGACGGAGCAACGCCGCGGGAGUGAUGAAGGUCUUCGGAUCGUAAAACUCUGUUAUUAGGGAAGAACAUAUGUGUAAGUAACUGUGUACAUCUUGACGGUACCUAAUCAGAAAGCCACGGCUAACUACGUGC
rnacentral:rRNA from 1 species